CUCGCGAGGGUGAGCUAACGCCAAAAACCCGUCCUCAGUUCGGAUUGCAGGCUGCAACUCGCCUGCAUGAAGCAGGAAUCGCUAGUAAUCGCCGGUCAGCCAUACGGCGGUGAAUCCGUUCCCGGGCCUUGUACACACCGCCCGUCACACUAUAGGAGCUGGCCAUGUUUGAAGUCAUUACCCUUAACCGUAAGGAGGGGGAUGCCUAAG
rnacentral:ncRNA from 1 species